rnacentral:rRNA from 1 species
UUUUAGAAUUUAAUUUAAAGUCUAACCUGCCCACUGAAUAAUUUUAAAUGGCCGCAGUAUCUUAACUGUGCAAAGGUAGCAUAAUCAUUAGUCUUUUAAUUAAAGGCUGGAAUGAAUGGUUGGAUGAAAUAUUAACUGUUUCAUAAAAAUUUUUAAUAGAAUUUUAUUUUUUAGUCAAAAAGCUAAAAUAUAAUUAAAAGACGAGAAGACCCUAUAAAUCUUUAUAUUUAUAUAAUUUUAAUUAUUUAGAUAAAUUAAAUUAAAUUUAUUUUGAAUAUUUUAUUGGGGUGAUAUUAAAAUUUAGUAAACUUUUAAUAAAAUUUAAACAAAAAUUAAUGAAUUAUUGAUCCAUAAAUUAUGAUUAAAAAAUUAAGUUACUUUAGGGAUAACAGCGUAAUUUUUUUAGAGAGUUCAUAUUGAUAAAAAAGAUUGCGACCUCGAUGUUGGAUUAAGAUAUAAUUUUAGGUGUAGAAGCUUAAAUUUAAAGUCUGUUCGACUUUUAAAUUCUUACA